rnacentral:pre_miRNA from 1 species
UUUGUACUCCCUCUGUCCCAAAAUUCUUGUCUUCAAUUUGUCUAAAUAUGGAUGUAUCUAGUUACAUUUUAGUGUUAGAUACAUCCGUAUCUAAACAAAUGUAAGACAAGAACUUUGGGAUGGAGGGAAUACUAC